GGGAGAAGAGAUAGGGGGAUUCCUCAGGAAAGGAGAUAACAUUUGAAAUGUAAGGAAAAAAUAUCCAUUAAAAAAUAAAAUGGUAAAAAAACAUAAAAUAAAAAUAAAGCAUUUAAUUGGGCCUUGUUUACAGUUUCAGAGAUGUAGUCCAUUAUCCUCACGACAGGGAGCAUGCGGCAUGCAGGCAGGCCUGGUACUGGAGAAGUAACUGAGAGUUCUACAUCUGGAUCCAUAGGCAGUAGGAAGAGAGUAAGACUCUGGGUUUGGCAUGGGUUUUUGAAACCUCAAAGCCACUCCACCCUCCAGUGACACACUUCCUCCACCAAGGUCACACCUCCUAACUCUUUCAAAUGGUAUCACUCCUUGGUGGCCAAGCAUUCAAAUAUAUGAGCCAAUUUGGCCAUUCUCAUUCAAACCAUUAUACCUUUCUCAUAAAGGUAGUAAUUUCAUUCUUAAAUAAUUCCAUUCAUAAUUAUAAUACAAUUUAUAAAAAGAGUCCUGAUGAUGAUGAUAAAUUCAUAAUUUUCUCCCAAAAAACUCCCUCAUAGAGAACCCACACUGAGGAGUUUGAAAUUUAGUAUAUGAAUUUUGGGAAGGCACAAAUAUUUAGUGUAUAGUUUUACCUUUGUAAUCUAAUUUUUAUCUUUUGCACAUGCUUAAUAAAUAGAUUGCAUCUCAAUAUUCUAAAAGUAUUAAUGCACCUCAGUAUCAUCUCUGAAGGCUAACCUCUAACCUUGCAUCUAAAUAUCGUUAAGCCAGGUGUGGGUGACACUCAUGGUUCAGUUAAUUCUGAGGCAGAUUUCUCUCCAGGUGUGAGCCAGUAUCCUUGUAAGUCACACUUCCAAAAUGUAAGUGUGGGAUAGUCCCACUCAAACUGCCAGGAACAUUGCCUUGGUUUAGACCGGGUUCUGUGUCCUAGGCUUAUAUUGGGGGUCACUGGGGCAGGGUUUCAUCUGGGUGCCCUGGUUUGAACACCUCAGCCUUGCCAACCCUACCUGGAAGCCUUUUGUGCACAGGGUUCAGGUGAGUGGGUCACGAGAAUGACUCUGCCUUGAUGGCUUUUGGUCAGGGGCAUUCUGACAUGACGAAAGCAAAACCGUGAUCCCCACUGGACAAUUAGGAAGGAAUCCUGAAGAUUGCAAGCUGUGGCAAAGGUCACUCACCUCCCCUUUCAGAUCAGCACAGUCUCAACCAGAUAAAGCUCUGCUCCCCAUCCCCAUCCCUCCAGCUGGCAAGUGAUUAAGGCCAUGAGCGUAGCCAUGCUAAUUUCUCUAUGAACGGGGAUAUAACUAUAUACUUAGUGAUCUUUCUAGAACUCUCUCUCUCGUAGUGUGAUUAGGAUGAGCAUUUUGAUUAGUUUCUCUUUGGAACAACAGUCUUGUCUUUAUGUAGUUUCUCUUUUUAUCAAAUUUUUCCAAGGCAAGUCAUGGGGAGCUAAGCUGUACUUUAUGACUUUGAUUAGCAAUAGCAUCAGCUAGAUUUCCAGUUUUGUUGUUCAUAAAAACUAGUUAAUGUCCGUAGGACACUUGGAGCAUGAACAAAAUUCAGUCAAAUUUUGCCACUUAAUAGCAAAAAUCAUCUUUUCUUUACUGUCCAAUGACAUGGGACCAUCUAAAAGGCCUGUACCAUCUAUGUUUCUGGCAUCAUUCUGUCAGGCCUUGAUUUAGUAAAUGGAAAAUUGACUCCCUAUUCAUAAAAUUCACUAACCAAAUGGUUAUACCAAGAUCUAGAGAAGUGUUAUUUAUACGAGUGACAGUGGCUGGUACUUGUAGAAUUUACCAUGAGUUGUAAUUGUUCUAAGAGGGUUUUUACAGAUUUGUUAAUAUCAACUAAUUGAUUAAUUAAUUUUUAAUGUUAUUAUUAUAGAGCUGGGGGCAGAACCAAGAGCCUGGAGCAUGCCAGGCAAGCGCUAAACCUCUGACCUACCAGGUAUCCUAACUAAUCUUUAUAAGAAUCCUAUAUAGAAAGCAAUCCUAUUAUUAUCACUACUGCAAAGAUAUGAAUUUACAGGGGAUGAGUAGUUUGCACGUACCACACGUAGCACAGUUAGUGGAGCAGAGAGUUUCAAUUCAGAAACUUUAAUGCCAAGGCCCCAGUUCUCAGCCACUUUGAUGUAUUGUUUACUGUUUGUGUAAUGCUGUAUGGUAUCUGGCUUGUAUAGAUAAGAAAUAGGAGCAGCCAGGCGCCAUUUUACCAUAUGUUGCAGUCAGAUGUUAAUUUGAAAUUAUUAGUGAUCGGGGAAGGCUUAAGUAGAGCGAGAUAUAUGCCAAACAUAUUAAAUAAAUGCUAAUAGGAGUUAAUGAAUAAGAAUGCUUUAAUAUUCUGGGAUUACCCCAGUGAGGAAUGAACUGCAAGUUUGCAUCUGCCCUUUGGCUUUUAAAAUGCAAAUUCUACCAAAAAAGAACAUGAGAACAAAGUCGCUCACAUGGGUGCAGCAACUCAAUUUCCCCACAGACAGACCCAUAUAAUCCAGAAUCCCAUCAAGAAGUGAGAGUUGAUUAAGUCCCCAAAGAUUUGUCCCUUUCCUUAGUAGUCAUCAUCUCUUAAAGGGACUUUCACAAGUCAUUGGCGUCCUACCAUAUUGUGUGCUUAUGUGCUCAUAUAAACUAUUCUUACAGGUAUGAAUCAGGUAAUUUGCAUCUUGAAGGGUCUCCUCUACUGCUCCCAAUCCGACCCUCUUGCGGGAGAGUCUUCUCAGGAGAUAGGCUCUUUCCUUGGCUCUUCAGGCUUAGGCUCUGGGUAUGGAGCUGUUUGUGGACUUGGUCAUUUUUGACUAAAGGCUUUUUGACUUUUUCCCCUAGGCUGUGUGUAGUUUUGGAUCUGGAAGCUUUAGUUACAACGGUGUGUAGCCUUGGCUUGGUAAAUUAUGAUUCUAGAAAAACAGGAGCAACGGCAGAGCCAGUCAAGGGGAUUUGGCUAUGGCACUGCCGUCACUGAAGUGUCCACUGAGUCUCCGCCCACAGCAUCCACCAAACGCACGCUGUAGAUUCCAAUGAUUACCGCUUUGCAGAGUUGACGAUGUCACUUCACACUUUCCUAAGCUUCCACGGUAAUACUUUAGCCAAUGACAAAUCGCUUCCUCCUUCUUUCCAAUGAAGAAGUCACCGUCUGCAGCUGUCAAAAUUACUUUAUUUACCUGAGACUGAGCUCCACUUACCUUGAUGGAUGAGUUCACUUUUGGGGAAUCCUGAGCAAUGCCACCUUACUUAUUUCUGUGAUUCUUUCUUGCUAAGCAUAGUGACUUUGCGAUCACCUCACCGCGUAUCCCGAGGUGUCUGUGUGCAUUUAUUUACUGACUCCAUUUAGUCGGUUUAAUGAGCAGAGAGUAAAAAUUCAUGAUAAAAAGAAACAAUUUCCAGGCAUGAAAUCAUCUACCUCUGAGAAGGCUUCAGGGGGUUUGUGUAAGUUCCAGGCUGUUGCCCCACCCAGUUAGGUAAGAUGGCCCAAUGUCAUUUUUUGUUUGGAACUAUUGGGUAUGGAGCAGAAAUACCUACAUUUUCUUCUACAGGCCCAAGGAAGACACAUAUUAUUUAUGGCUUGUCUGAGGUACCAAGCCAGACUUGGGUUUUCCUGUCAGUACAUGGAGUGGACACACCCCAGAUGGAUACAAGCAGCAAUGGUUUCCCUUGUAGCCAAACACUUACCUUGCACGCACUUCAAGAGCUUCCAGAGAUCCCGGUGAAGGAGACUCCUAUUGGGUUUGUGUCAAAACCUUAUGUACACAUUUCAUGGUCAGUAGUGGGUCCAAACGUAAGAGGUGAUUGAUACACAUUUACAUUUGGGUCAUUGAGCAUGCUCUACAGCCUCUGUGACACAGUGGACUUCGUGGCCACUUAGUUACUUCAAAUGGAGAUAUCGGAGUUAACGCUGUAUGAAGUGUCUGGGGUAGUAGGUAUUUUUUCACUUGUUUGAGUUUGUAAAGCUCACCCGCCACCAUUCUGUUAGAUGAAGACAAACUGUUUCAACUAAAGCACAAGGCAAGCUCUUUAAUGGUCCCCGUUUCUGGCUAAGCCACAACUGAUCAAUCCAAAACUGCUCUGUGGGUUGGAGUCCACACCCCUCUUUAGGUUUUAUCUCUCUGGUCUGAAACUAAAAUCCACUUUGGAAAGAGCCUGCCCUUCUGCCUCACACCAGUCAGAACAGUUAAGAUCAAAAACUCGGAUGACAGCAGAUGCUGGCGAGGAUGUGGAGAAAGAGGAACACUCCUCCAUUGUUGGUGGGAUUGCAGACUGGUACAACCACUCUGGAAAUCAGUCUGGAGGUUCCUCAGAAAAUUGGACAUUGAACUACCUGAGGACCCAGCUAUACCUCUCUUGGGCAUAUACCCAAAAGAUGCCCCAACAUAUAACAAAGACACAUUCUCCCCUAUGUUCAUAGCAGCCUUAUUUAUAAUAGCCAGAAGCUGGAAAGAACCCAGAUGCCCUUCAACAGAGGAAUGGAUACAGAAAAUGUGGUACAUCUAUACAAUGGAAUAUUACUCAGCUAUCAAAAACAAUAACUUCAUGAAAUUCAUAGAGAAAUGGAUGGAACUAGAAAAUAUCAUCCUGAGUGAGGUAACCCAGACAUAAAAAACAUUCAUGGCAGAUAUUAAUCCACAAGCUCAAAAUACCCAAGAUAGAAUUCACAGACUACAUGAAGCUCAAGAAGAAGGACGAUCAAAGUGUGGAUGCUUCUGUCUUUCUUAGAAGGGGGAACAAAAUACUCAUAGGAGGAAAUAUGUGGAGACAAAGUUUGAGCAGAGACUGAAGGAAAGGCCAUCCAGAGACUGCCCCACCUGGGGAUCCAUCCCAUAUUCAGCCACCAAACUCAGACACUAUUGCUGAUGCCAAGAAGUGUUUACUGACAGGAGCCUGAUAUAGCUGUCUCCUGAGAAGCUCUUUCAGAGCCUGACAAACACAGAGGUGGAUGAUUGCAGCCAACCAUUGAACUAAAAAUAGAGUCCCCAAUGGAGGAGUUAGAGAAAGGACUGAAGGAGCUGAAGGGUUUACAACCCUAUAAGAACAACAAUAAUAUCAACCAACCAGAGCUUCCAGAGCUCCUAGGGGACUAAACCACCAACCAGUACACAGGGAUGGACCUAUGGCUCCAUCUGUAUAUGUAGCAGAGGAUGGCCUUGUCAGGCAUCAAUGGGAGGGGAUGCUCCAGUGUAGGGGAAUGUCAGGGCAGGGAGGAAGUGGAUGGAUGGGUGGGGGAACAUCUUUAUAGAAGCAGGGAGAGGGGAGAAGAGAUAGUGAAUUUCUGAAGGGGAAACCAGGAAAGGGGAUAACAUUUGAAAUGUAAAUUAAAAAAUCCAAUAAAAAUACCAAGUAUGGUUAAAAAAAAAAAGAGCCUGCCAGGAAGCUUCAGGAACUGGUCAUUAUCAGGUUACUGCUGUCUAUGCCAUGUUUUCAGAACGAUGUUUUAAGAGCCUUGAAAUGCAUGCGUACACUUAUUGAAGUGAAUUAACUUAACAUUUUAGAAGUAAAUGAAUGUAUAUGCUCAUCUGAGAAAGAGCCUUCCCCACAUAUAUUUUCCAUAAGAGAAGUGUUGUAGAGGGUUGCGAACUGGCGGACAGUAAUUCUGAUAUAGUACUAUGCAAACUUUACUUUUUGUCUGUAUAUUUGUUUUAAAAGUUGAUUUUUUCAGCUUACAAGCCCUUCCUUUGGAACAUAAGUCCUUUUUCUGUAACCUCUAAUUACUGAUUGCUUUUUGGCUCUCCUGAUUCAGACUUUUAUGUUCUUUAAUAAUUCUUGUAGACUUUGAGUUUUCCGUCACUGGUUUAGGCUUUUUAACACAGCCAGCAAACAGUUUUAACUUUGCAGACCUCGAAGGCAGAAAUCCCCCGACUCGUCUUUUUAUUCCUCUCUUAGCACUGCCAGGGUGUGAUCCCCUCAUCUCUAGGAGGAAGUAGGGGACCCCUAACAUUCUGUCCUCCAACUUUCUUUAGCCUCUGUAUUUGAAAGCAACAUCAGAGACUCACACUAUAGACUACGCCCAUCCAUCUUUCUCUCAAUGCCCUGUGUUGAGGAUCCGCGUCUCGUGAGCCCACUCACAGUAUUUUCCUAUGAUAUCCUUUCUACGCUUGCGUAUCCACAAAGCUUUCCCCUCUCAUCUCACUUUGUCUUUUCUAUUAUCCUCAUGUUUCGUUUCCUAGAACUUUUAUCCAAUUGAAUUUCUUGGAGGCUAUCCUCUGUGCAAUCUCUAAAAAAUAUUUCCUUUUCUACAACCACCUGUUUUACAGUGCCUUACCGUCCUCUCUCGAGUGCCACGGUUUCUUGCUUUCAUUGCAAAGACUUCUAUAGGCACAGAAAGCCAUUUCAUUUUGUGAUAAGAUUUCAGCAAAGUUUCUAGGGCCAGCUGAAAUUCUUCCAACUAUUUACACACACACACACACACACACACACACACACACACACACACACACACACACACAGUAAUUACUUCCUCCACAGUUUAGUUAGAGUUCACCACAUGUAUUACCACAAUCCAAAUUCUAUUUAUGUAGCAGAAAGAUUCGUUCUAUGUUAGGAAAGGCAACUUUUUUCUUUUUAUAUUUAGUGCGGAUCUACUUUCUCUUUCCUGCUUCUUAAGUUCAGUGGAUAGUUCUGCUUUCCUAGUAAAUAAGCUUACUCAGACAAUGCCAGUGCUGGCUUGAUCGUGUGCAGCAUUUUCCUAUAAUUUGAACAAAACUUGGGCAGGUUUUAGAGUAAAUAAUUAAUUGCACCAACCUCAUUCACCACACCACCAAGAGCUAAUUUUAGAAAAGAAACAGAUUUCCAGCAGAUGGUAAUUGAAGGAAAAACAUUGACUUUUUAAAUUAUAAGUCUAAUUUUUAAAUGCACCUUAUGCACAACUGGAUUCCCACAGUCUGCCACUUAUCAGGAGAUAGCACAUCACAGGGCAGGUCUGGAUAAGGUGAGCCACUGUGUCUGGGGCGGGGGGUGGUGGAAAUCACAGGGCAAAGGAGGAAAGAGUAUAUAAAAAGUAUAUAUAGGUUCUGCCACACUCCUUAGAGGAAACUGAGCCUGACGUGCAUGGAGUUUAUUUCCUCUCAGUAUCUUCAAUGAGAUAAUCAAGGGAAACCAGUGUGGACACGUUCUGACCUUUAUCACCCCCAUUACAUUCUUACUGUUUUAUAAGAAAUGGGGAGAAAAGCAGAGAAUUCCUUUCUCUCAAGUUCAAUAUCCUCCCCUUCCUCCUCCUCUUCCUUUCCCUCCUCCUCCCUCUUCUUCCUUCUUUUUGCCUGCAUGUACACACACACACACACACACACACACACACACACACACACACACACACGGCUGACCGCUUGGGAGUGAAUAACCAUUUUGGGGGCUCAUCCUUGGAGAAGACUAACUCUCCAUCUCUUAGUGGCCUCAUUGUAGUUCUUCAACCAGGGGUGGGCCCUCUGAGAGUUUCCUCAUCCCCUUUGUCAUGUCCCAUGUCAACUGGCUUGUCAUUGUUCAGGUCUUGUUUGGACACCCACAUGGUUGAGAUUUCUUGGGUGUAGCUUCCCUGCCACACCUAAGAGAUACAAUUUUGCAGGAGGCUUCCUGGUCCUCUGUCUCUUACAAUCUUUCCACCCCUUUCCCUACACUGAAUCCUAGAUGUGGGGGUGGUGUUGUAGAUGUACCACUUGGACCGAACAUUCCUGAGUCUGUUGCUUUCUGAAUUUUGACCAGCUGUGGCUUUCUGUCAUUGAAAUCCAUUUGCUGCUCAAAGAGUCUACAAGAAACUUCUUUGAGGAGGGGUGAGGACUACGCUUUUCUCUGUGUGUGCAGGGCUAGGUAUUUAGAAUGCUGUUAGCAGUUAUGUUUGCUUAGGAGACUGCUGUGGUUGAGAUCUGUGACUUCACUAGCCAUUGAGCAGUUGGCAAGGCUUACAGUACCAGACUCGAUUCCUCUCCUUUUGAGAGGAUCAUCAGUUUAAUUUGACAGCUGUGGCCGUCACCACAGUAUUAGUGCCGCGAUUGUACCUUUAGGGAUAUCUUAUCAUUCUGAUCACUUGUUGGACCAUUUUUUUUUUUUUUAAACAGCAGUGGAGACAUUGCCUGAUACUCACUAGCAGUGAAAGUCUACGAGGACUCUUUGUACGCAUCUCAGAAAGGGAUGUUUAAUGUGCCACGCGUGUUUCUGUUUAUAAUGGCCCACUUUUCUUUUUUGUAUUUUAGCUUUUUAAGAAGACAAUUUCUCUGAGUCAGUUUUUUCUUAGCUAAAAAGAAUACUUCCAUUUUUAAAGUCAUACGGCUAUGCUGGCAGCAACACUGUAGUCAAGGACCAUGUAAAACUGUUGGCAUCUUUCAUCUCUGUAUUUUAAAGGGAAGUGCAGAAGACAGGGACGUCCCAGAAACACACAAUGUGCAUUUGAGAGACCGUUUAUAAAAUGUGGCAUGGAUUCCUUUCUGGCCCCAUUUCAAACUGAAGUCUUUUCAGCAAUGAAGUGUUCCAGUAGCUGGCCAUUCUCUCAUUCGAUACCAUCCACUAUCCUCAGAAAACAGACGAGGUCGGUUUGCCUGAAGCUGCUCGCAAUUACGUCUCAUUCCAUUUUCUGGGAGUAAUUAUAACGGCUAUUCAGAUAUUCGGAGAUAACUGUUAUUUCUUCCUUGUUUUUGAAAGCUAAGCUCAGAAACCCAAGUUCCUUUGACCUCUGUGCACAUAAAUGUGCUUUCAAAUAUCCAAGUCUCCCGCACCACACUAAUGUUCAUUAAUUUUCCUCUUAAGGCAUAAUUCUAAGACUUUUAUCAUAGCACUCUAGCCAUUGUCUGCCAAGAUCACAGUAUAAUUCUGAACAUUUUAAUUCUCGUAAUAAAACCUAGUGUAAAGGAAUAGCCAGGCCCUUAGAGACGCCGUCUAAUCUUUUGUUACUUGCAUGGUCAAUAUUAUUACAAUUUUACCCGUUGAGACAACUUUUAUUUUUAAGACAGAACUCGUAGGAUGCAAAUGUUUAAGUUUCUAAAUGUCAGAUAAUUGAUAUCUAGCUUAAUGUGAUAAUGUUUUAUCAGAAAGUGAUUUCUUAGCUUAAAUCGAUCUUGUUUUCUAAAACUGAUAAGAGUUAAAAUAUUAGAUUUUUUUUUUGCCUUAGGAUUGAAAUACAUAAAGGAAAUGGAAUUUUAUUCCCUAGCGUAUACUCUAGGAUACACUCUAAGGUGCUGGACUGUUCACAUUAGUCGUGAGUAAUUGACAAUAACAAAUGGGGCUUUAUUAUUUAUAGGUUGCUCUUCAUCCCUAUGCUGCCAUAUUUUGAAGAGAGAGAAUGCGUGUGUUUGUGUCUGUGUAUGUUUGUGUGUGUGUGUGUGUGUGUGUGUGUGUGUAUGAGAGAGACAGACAAAGAGACAGAGACGGGAGGGAGGGAGAGAGAGCAGAAGAGAGCGAUGACGCACUUACCUAAAUUUUCGGAGAUAGCUUUCUCGCCUAUUUAAGGAGUCUGUUCUGCAGAGCUGAGGAGAUGGCUCACUUUUUAAGAGCCCAUGCUGCUCUUGCAGAGGACCACAGUUGGUUCCCAGUACCCAUGUUGGCUGGCCCAAACUCCAGUUCCAGCGCAUAUGGUACCCUCUUCUGGGUUCCCUGGAUACCUGCACAUACCCACACAUAGGAUUAAAAAACAAUACAACAAAAUUAAAAAUUGAAACAUAAAAAUAAAGCAAGCAUAGAAGUAAGAAAAUAAAAGAUUAAAACAUUUCUGUGUUUGCUUUCUAAUAAUUAGUCAUAGCUGACAGAGCAACUAUGGAUUUUCAACUAUUUAUGUAGAGUCCAGAAGUCAACACUGGGUGUCUUCCUUAGUAAUUCUCCAUCUCAUUUUUAAAAAAUUUGCCAUUUUCAUCAUCACCAUCAUCAUCAUUACUGAUAAGUGUAUGCAUGUAUGUGUAUAUUUCUGUGUGUAUGCAUGUAUGUGUACAUGCAUAUAUGUGUAUAUACGUAUAUGUCUGUGUGUGUUUGUGCAUAUGUGUGUAUGUGUGUGUAUGUGCAUGUGUGUGUAUGUGCUUGUAUGUGUAAGUGCAUGUGUGUGUGUUAUGUGUAUGUGUGUGUGUGGAUGUGUGUUCACGUUUUAUAUUGGAGGUGCAUGUGUUCCUUGGCGGUAUGAAAGUCAUAGAACAAAGCUCUCUGGAGUUAGUUCCUUCCAUGAUUUUGUGAUUCCAAGGAUCAAACUCAGCUCUUCUGGUAAUUGCUUUUAUUGGCUGCGGCUUGUGACUACCUCUCACCAUCAUGUUAUUUAAACCUCAAUCGCAAUUUUGCUACGAUUUUAGUAUCAGGGUAGUGCAAACAGUGGGUAGCAAGCGUCCAGGUGAGGAAGACAUUAUUAUCCCAGGUCAUCGAAGUCAGAUCAUGAACUUUUCACCCAUCCUGCUGUGACAGUAUGGGCAUGGAUUUAAGACUGUCAAUCAACCAUUGAUGUCUUCAGUGGUAUGUCUUUGUUUCUAGGUGUUGGUCAGAGACUCUCGGUCCUUGCUGGGCUGUAAUGGAAUUUGAUGGCCUUGGGUGACAGGUGAUGGGGAAGCUGCUUCUAUGUUUCUUGAACAUCAUCGCCAAAGAGACUUGGCUCAGAGACAGACUUCAGUUAAGUCCUUUUAGGACAUUGGCUGCAAACCUAGCAACAGUUUCAAGAAUGGAACCAGUGGGUUUUUACCCAGGUGUUGCCUCCAUUCAUAUUGAGUGGCCAAGGACACACUUCUCCAGGUUUGCAGAGAUGUCUGUUUAUCUGUUUCCUCUGUUUACAGAUCUCCUGGUUUUGUUUUCUAAUAAACAGUCACAGUUGGUAGCACAACCGAGGCUUCCCCUCUUUCCGUGUAUUUAAUUGCUUCGAGUAGUGUACCUGGGGCCUGCCAUUUAAACACAGCUCAAGAAACUAUUUCCCUAUCUGUUUUCUUCAAAGCAUUUCCCCUCAGAUGACAAUAAUGAGCGCAGUGUGGGAAGCUACGCUUUAUGUAAAUGAUUGCCUUUGCAGAGACGUGAGGGCACAUGCUAAUAUUCCACUGCAUUCAGGGAGAUCAGAGGUCUGUUGUCUCAUGCUGAGUCUAAGGCUGGAGAUUUUCAAACCUCCUCAUGCAGAUGAGAGGCUGCUCCUUUAGAGCCUGCAGUCUUCCUCAUGGGGAGAAGUUUUCAAAAGGGAGCUGCAGUUUUUUCUGGAAACCAAGUACUGGGUAGGGAGGGCCAAAGGUUAUGCAGAUUCCUCUCACAUAGCCUGUGUUCAGCAGUAGAGUAAGUGGAGGAGGGGUAGCACCAGGGGAUUCUUAAAGUCCUCUGAAAUGAAAUUUCAACCAGAUUCUUACUCUUUUCAGUGGUCAAAAUUCCCCAGUGAAAGACUGACAGCUUAACAAUAAAUUAAUUUCGGAAAACUAGCAUAUUCAAAUUCUUCCUUUCCUCCUUCACAUCCUAAAGUCCCUACCUAAAUGGGAUUGGACACAAGAUCGGAAUUUAUGGGAAAAGAAAGAAAAAAAAAUCCUCCAGCGCAGUGGUGAGCUCUGUGGGGGAGACUCAGAGGACUUUACUGCAUUUUUGGCAGAUAAAGCAUGAAUUUAUUAAUGCGCUAGUGGAAAUGACUCACUGACAAGUUCUGUUAGCCUCCAUCAUGAUUCAGAGUAGAGGCAGAAGGAUUUUACUAAACGUAUUUCCAUUAUCUUUUUCUUAGUCAGCAGUCAUGUUCUCUGCUGGUGUAAAGUGCAGCCCACUCCAGCCCUCACAAACUCUGCCUUUUGCCCUGGUGCUCUGGAGCCAGCUAGCUAGCCAGGAUCUCUGCUGCAAAUGUUAAUUCAUUCCUCGACUGAUUGGUGGCAGCUGUUCCUUAACUGAAGCCCGAUGAGGUUAUGCUUACAAGGGAAUAAUACAAACAAAACAGAAAGAACAGCAGAGAGUGUAGGAGUGGGGUCUUGGCACAAGAUUUGCUUGAAUCUCGACUUUUCAGAGACUGUAUUACAAGUGACGUAGAAACGUUAGUGUGAUUCUGGGACCCGCUGUAACACACUGUAUCUUGGCUCUUUUGGGUCAACUCUUACCCAGGCCUGUUGUUAGCGUCUGUUUUAUAAGCUACAGACAGCUAAAAUGGCAGCACAAACUCCAGUCAAAGCUGAAUGGAGUGGUGGUGGGCAUGGGUUAUUUAGUUUGUCUCUCCGUGAAUUUCCCUGAGUCUCCCCCCCUACCCCUUUUUCUUCCAUUUUCUCUCUUACAGUCCCCCCACCCCCUGUAAUUAACAAAUGCUUUCUUCUCCUUGCCAACAUGGUUUUUUGGACAAAAUUAUAUGCACUUGAACAUAAAAACAACUAGCAAAUUUCGUAAACAUAUUCUAAAGCUCUAAAUACCCAUCACCUCAGGAUGCAAGACAAGGAUUAUCAUUAGUGUCAUGAAGCCAUUGUCACUAUUGUAAAAAUGUUACUUUAUUUUAUUUUUUUAAAUAUUUUUUAAAGAUUUAUUUAUUUUAUGUCUGCGAGUACACUGUUGUUCUCUUCAGACACACCAGAAGAGGGCGUCAGAUCCCAUUACAGAUGGUUGUGAGCCACCAUGUGGUUGACUGGGAUUUGAACUCAGGACCUCUGGAAGAGCAGUCAGUGCUUUUAACCACUGAGCCGUUUCUCCUGCCCUGGAUUUUAUUCGUAAUUAAAAUAUUCUUAACACCAUUUCCCCCUUCCUCUCCUGCUAACACCUUUCGUUUCCUCUCAGAUUCAUGGCCGUUUCUCUCUUUUCUCUUAUUCUUUUACUCACACAAAUACAUAUACAGCCACCUACAUACAACAAAACACAUACACAAGCUCCUGAAUCUAUUUAGUGUUGCUUACAUAUGUAUGUUUUUAGGGUUGACAACUGGGCGCUGGAUAACCAACUAUUGGGCUCUUUCCUUUGGAAGACUAAGGAUCCUCCUCUCAUCUUGGGGUGGGACCCAGUGAGGCAUCUCACAUCCACGUUGUCAUGACAACUGGUGUUGUCAGGCAUUGAGGUCUUACUUAGGGCAGCCAUGUUGCUGAGCUUUCGGCAGCUUCCUUGUAAUAUUUACAAGUCACGGUCUUGAAGCUUACUCGGUCCCCUGGCUUUUACGAUCUUCCUGCACCCUUUCUGUGCUAUUCCCUGAACAAUUUUAGACUUAUUAUUUGGGUGGUGCUAGGUGUUAGCAUUCCUUCUACGCUCUGCCCAACAGUUACCUGGCAACGGCCCUGUAGGCCUGGCUUGCUGUAAAGGGGGCUGUUUGCACCCCUCUCUUCCUCUUUGACUCUUUUCUCUCCCUAACCCCCUUUCCUUUCUCCUUUUACUCCUCCCCCCCUCUCUCCAUGUGUUCCUGGCUUUCCUUAGCCUUACCUAGCCUCUCCCCUCCCCCUCCCCUUCCCCUCUUCUCUCCUCCUCUUCUCUCCCUCUCUCCCUCCUUCCCCUCUCCCUUCCUCCUCCUCCCUCUCUGUGUACCUCUCCUUGUCUCUCCCUGUCCCUGCCCCUCUUCCCCCCAUUCUCAACUCCCUACCCAUGACCUAAAUUAACUCUAUACUAUAUCUGUUGUAUGGCUGGUACCUCAUGGGGAAGGGAUGCCUCAGCAUGGUCCCGCCGAAGCACUCCUCCCACCUCACCAUGCCAUGUCCUACAAAACACAUACUUGGCUUUUUAUAAAACACACCACCAGGGACUGAAGCCAGGGCACUGCGCAUGCUAUGAAGUGCUCUGCUCUUGAACCACACUCCCGUCCCUGCACUUUUUAUUCAAUGAUACUUUUAUUCAUUCUUUGAAAAUAAUUUCAUGUAUUUCUUCAAUGUAUUUUAAUGCCACCUCUCCAACUUUGUCAUGCCUUCCACUCCAUUACCCUACCUACCUCCGAGGUUUUUUUGGACAGUAACAACCCCCCUAAGUCCAAUCAAUACUGUAUGUAACUGUUGGAUCAUUCACUGGGACAAGGGCAUUCUACCACCUGCCAUAUAUCCAAAGAAGAGGGACUCCUCUCUUAGUGGCCACCAGUGUUACUAGAUCCUUUCCAAGGUUGAGGGUCUCAGGAUCCUAUUUCCACUUUUGUGGAAUUGUGACAAAUUGCCAGUGUUUACACCUCUUCCUCGCCACUCCACAUCUUCUGGUGCCUCCUAGCUCCCUUCUGUCAUGGCGGUGGUCACAGCAGCUUCCCUCAGGUGCCUUCUGCUAUGACACAUCCUGUUAUCCCUGUUCUUGGGUAAUGUCAUUGACCAUCUCUGUCAGUUUUUCAAGGCUCAUCCACGUGCUUCAGCUAGUUCAUCCAAGCAGCCACCAGUAACACAGAGGUAGGUGUUUUCACUCCUCUGAAGAAGGGACCUGCUUCUUUCUGUUGCAUAACACUUUAUAUGGAAGUUGGCAAACCCACAGUAGGAAAUCAAAGGAAAAAUGUCUGCCAACAUUGCUUUAAGGAGUUCAUGAUAUAAUUAGGGGCAAGAAAAGGCAGGAAGAGCACCCUUGUUACAGCACUGGUUCACAGAUCCACUGGCGGAAGUCAGAGGUAGGCAAGCCAAUCUCUUCCAAUGGCUUCAAGUUACUGUCUUGAGAGUGGUGAUGUGUACCCCAGUCUCAAAUGCAGGGCUUGUUUGAGAGAAGAUGGAAUUUGCUAAGUGGGGUCAGAAGAAUUUUAGAGUAGAAGAAUUUAGUAGUAGUAAGAAUCUCACUUGCCUGUUGCACAUAAGAGAAGAAGGUGUAAGAAGGUGUGUGUGUGUGUGUGUGUGUGUGUGUGUGUGUGUGUGUGUGUGUGUGUGUGUGCUGUGCAUAGGGACGUUUCCUGGGUCAGAUUGCUGAAGACUUUAUUUGACAACCUAAAGUUCAAACUUCAGCAAUGAUGAGAAACCACCAAGAGAGAGUGAACGGGGGGGAAAAAAUAGAGACGCUAACGCUUUACAAAGAUGGAUGCGAGAAGUCGCAGAACGAGCAUGAAGAUUAAGUUGGGAGUAAUCACCAGCCGUCCUGACACUGGAAGAAAAAUGAUUUCUAAUCAUUUUCCAAAUCUGUAUUGGCUAUCUCUUCACCAAAACCGCUAAGAAGAAGGGGAGUUUCCUUUUCUCGUCCAGUGAUUAAGGGACCACACAGUUUUGCCUCCUGUUUGGACAGCUGUGAUGGUUCACAUGUGAACGCGCUUUUCAGAGGGAAGCGUUUCUUUGCGGAGUCUUUGUGUGGUUUAGGUAUCAGAAUGCUUUACAAGCUUCACGUCAUGCUCACAGAAGACAGGAGCGCAAGGCACUGAGCUUCCUAAGCCACAGUUUGAAAGCGAAUGGGUGCCUAGAAACGUGUCUGUAAAAUCUGUGAAGUCUUGGUAUCGUCAUGGAGUCUGUUGCUCUAUCAGCUUUCCCCUGGAGACAGCAGGAGAGAGACGGAUUCUGGGAACUCUUAAAAAGCUAGUUACAUCCUUUUGUUAUUUUAUUACAAUGUUACAUCGGACAAUGUAACAUUGAUAUGCCCACUGAACUGUGUGUGUGUGUGUGUGUGUGUGUGUGUGUGUGUGUGUGCUGUGCAUAUAUGAAUCUGCUUGUGCUUGUGUAUGUGCACAUGCACGUGUGUAUAUACAUGGAUGUGUGCGGGUACACAUGCACGUAUGUGUUUACAUGGAUGUGUGUAGGUGCACAUGCACGUGUACAUAUUCAUGGAAGCCAGAGACCAGUGAUACUGUCUUUUCUAGUGCUUUCCACAUGAGAGUUUGAGAGAGCAUCCUUCACUAAGCCCAGACAUCACUGACUUGGCAGCGUUAAACAGCCAGUGAGCUCCAGCGACUCUCCAGUCUCGGUUUUCCCAGACCCGGGCCUGCAGGCACGUCCCAUGCCAGGUUUUGUUUUAUGCGGGUACUAUGGGCUCUCACGUCUUUAUACUUAAGUGGCAAGUGCUUUACUAACGUGACUGAAAACCUGCAAGAUGACUCUUACAAGUUAAAGGCUGGAAUAACCCUGAAGGAGGGACUGUUCAUCAGUUAACCUUCGUUCAUAUGUGUGCAAAUGACGUUGCUGCAAAAUGAACAUUGUGAAGCUUUUAAAAACCUUUUGCAGGGUCCAUUCCCUGCCGGUGGCAGUGAUACAGGCUAAGGGGACCUUUUACUCAGGAGGAAGCUGAUUUGAGCAUUCCAAUCUACACGGAUCAGCCUGUUCUUUGGAACAAUGAUUUAAUUGUUCAUCCCUAAGUCACAUAACUUCUAUUUUGACUUAGUCUUUAAGGGAGAGAGUGUGGAUGCAUAGAACUUAAUCAUGGAGUACAGACUUCAUCUUUGUGUGCCCAAUACUAUAAAUCUUCCUGACUAAUGUUUGGUCGUUUUAUUUUGUAAGUCAUAAGCAUAUAGCUUUCUUAUUUUAAAAAGUUUACCCUCUAAUUUAUAUCGGUCUUAAUUUAAAUAUUCUUAAUAAAACAAUCAAAAGUCUUUAGUACAGUUAGAUUCUAAUCAUUCACAGAACAUAAAAAUAUUAAAGCAGGGAAAAUUCCUUCUAUUAUUUUACUGGUCUGGGCAGGCAACAAACAUGCAGGAAGUCAAAAUACUGAGGGCAAGGAGAAGAGAAGACCUAACCCAAAGAAAUCAAAAUAUUUUCACACAAAAAAAUCCUUAUUUUUACUUUUAAUUAAGUGUGUAUGACUACGUCUGAGUAAGGGUUUGUACUUGUCAGUGCAGUUUCCAUUGAUGCCAGAAGAAGGCGCCAGAUCUUUUCGAGCUGGAGUUCCAGGCCACUGUGAGCUGCCCCAAAGUGAGUGCUUGGAUCUGAACUUGGGUCCCCUGCAAAAGCAGUACACAUUCCUAACCACUGAGCCAUCUCUUCAGCCUCGAGGGUUCUUAAUAUCAUGCUAAUCCAACUGUGUCCCGAAAAGUGAAGAGAUUCUUGUGAAGACUGAGAACACUUGGGUCUUGUUUGGUAUUCGUUCAGCUUCUCACUGCCUUUUGACUGGACUUCAACAUUUAUAUAAUUGGAAGAAAAAUACAGGUUAUCCUGACCCCCAGAGGCAAAAUCUGAGUGGGCAAGUGGGAGCCUAGCAUGGCUGUCCUCUGAGAGGCCCAACAAGCAGCUGACUGAGACAGAUGCAGAUACUUACAGCCAACCAAUGGACUGAAGUCCGGGACUCCUGUGGUUGAAUUAGGAAAAGGCUGGAAGAAGUUGUGGGAGGGCAACCUCAUGGAAGACCAGCAGUCUCAACUAACCUGAACCCCCAAGAUCUCUCAGACACUGAGCCACCAACCAGGCAGAAUUCAGGAGCUGAUAUGAGGCCCCCAUCACAUAUAUUCAGCAGAGGACCAGACUUGAGAUAUUGACGUUAAUGCAUAAAUGAUAACUGUCUCCUGAGAGGCUUCAUCCAGCAGCAGCUGCAGAUGGAGGCAGAUGGACCCACGGUUAAACAUCAGGCAGAGCCCGGAGAGUCUUAUGGAAGAGUAGGGGAUAAAAGUCAACAUGGAAUGACAGCUGAAGAGUGUGAGAAAACGUUAUACUUCAAGAUCACAGCAAACAGCUCUGUUGGUUAAGCUGAAGUAUCAAAAUCUGGAAAAACGAAGAGAUGAUCAGUGUGGGCCACUGUGAGCAGAUGGAGUGAAUUAUAUUUUUUCCUAUUUUAUAGCUGUGAAGCCUUAGACGCUACAAGGGCACCCUUGGUAUCAGCAUCCUAACUCUACACACUGUCUUUUAGCUUCUCAAUAAAGGUGGAUGAGAAGAAAACAUCUUACUAAAUAACACAAACGCAUAUGAAUCUCCUCUAUAAAUUCGGGUAUAAUCUCCUGAAAAGAAAAGAACAUAGUUUCUUAUCUAAGUGAGAUUUAAAAGUUUUGCUUUUCCAUCCAGAUAAAGCCAGUUAUGUUUUAAAAGGUGCCUCAACAGCAAGACAUAUUUUGGCACAGAGAGCAAGAGAUGAGAGGAAGUUUGCUGAGCUUCUUAGGGCCUGAGUUUGCCUGGCAUUCGGAGCAAAGAAGGAUGUAUAAGAGUCACAUGCAGAUAGCAUACGUACUGCAUCUGUAUGUUGUAAGAGGCUCAUAGAUGCCCUUGCACUCGAAUUACCAGAUAUAUGGUUUCUGGAGAGAUGCUGGGUAGAGAGAGUAAUGUAAAGGGGAAGAUGGGAAGAAGCUGGAAAUGUAGAAAACAGGAAGGAAGGAGAUGGGGCAAGGGAGAGAAGAAGAAAAUCUUUCUUACAUUCUCUCCGAACUUUUGGAUGAUAAAUACAAAAAUUAUUCUUAUGCUUGGGGGCAUGAUUUGACUGAGGAACCUCUCUAACAGAGGAAAUUGAAAUGAUGCUCUUUAAAUGAAAUGAGAGUGUACAAAGUAAAUGCUCUCAUUUUAAGCAAACCAUUAUUGGUUGUCUGCAGUGACCGGAAUGUAAUCGUUUAGAUGUUUGUUAGUUAAGUCAGGGAAUGAAUGGUAUGCUCUGACAAUUACUGGCAGUAUAUAAAGGUCCCAGGGUAGUAGAGACAUCCACACUUGAGAAAUAUUCUUUUGUAACCCACGUAAACUCUCCUCUAUUGACAACAUGUGUUGUAACUACUACGGCAACUCCUGUGGCUAUGGCUGUGGAUACGGCUCUGGCUAUGGCUGUGGAUAUGGCUCUGGCUAUGGCUGUGGAUAUGGCUCUGGCUAUGGGUGUGGAUAUGGCUCUGGCUAUGGGUGUGGAUACGGCUCUGGCUAUGGCUGUGGAUACGGCUCUGGCUAUGGCUGUGGAUACGGCUCUGGCUAUGGCUGUGGAUAUGGCUCUGGCUAUGGCUGUGGAUACGGUUCCAGGUAUGGCUGUGGAUAUGGCUCUGGCUAUGGAAAUGGCUGUGGCUGUGGAUAUGGCUCCUACUACAGGUCUGGCUGCUGUGGCUACGGACCAUCUUGCUACAGGAGAUGCUAUUCUUGCUGUUAGAACACUCCUAAGAGAGGACCAGUUGCUGCUGAACUGACACUUCUGAAGACAAUGCUUCUUUAAAGACCCCUGGCCAAGAUCUCUAUGUCCAAGAAAUCACGAAUCUGACAAAGCCUUUCACCUCCAGCUGCACAUUUUUAGAAGGCAUCUUUGUGAUCCUGGGAUCUGCAGUAUCGUCUCACUGGCUCUGCUUUCUUGCCAUCUGGUUCUGUUGCCUGAGCAUGUUAAUGGCUGCAACAUCAACAGCUGGCAAUGUGAUUUCUUUUCAAUAAAAUGGGUCUUGGUUUCUAACAAA